AUGGUGCAGCAGGCUCAUAAACGUCGUCUACCCAUGAUUGUGCUUAAGUUGGAUUUCAGGAAGGCCUUUGACAGUGUCAGUUGGGAUGCUCUAAAUCAAAUCAUGGAAGCCCGAGGCUUUGGGAAUCGAUGGAUACAUUGGAUUAACAUCCUACUAUCAUCCAGCUCUUCAAGUGUCUUGAUCAAUGGGCAGAUUGGGGACAAGAUUAAGUUACAGAGUGGCCUAAGACAAGGGGAUGCUCUAUCCCCUUAUCUUUUUAUUCUCAUGGUUGAUGUUCUACAACAAAUGCGCAUUUCUGAGUAUAACAGGGGAACUCUCCAACAUCCUCUCAACAUUGAUGGGCCUUUUCCAGUUUUACAGUAUGCAGACGAUACUUUGUUGCUAAUCAAGGGCAUGCAAGAGCAAGCACAAGUGGUCAGGAGGAUUUUGGAUGCGUUCUGCGCCUUCACUGGCCUACACAUCAACUUUAACAAGAGCACGUUCGUGCCAGUGGGCAUGGAUGAAACCACUUCCAAUGGGGUGGCUGUUAUUCUGCAGUGUCCUAUCUCCUCUUUCCCAUGGACCUACUUGGGUCUACCUCUGUCCACACAAAAAAUCAGUCACGGGAUGCUGCUACCUGUUAUUCACAGAGUUGACCGCAGGCUAUCCGGCUGGCUCGCCACUUUCCUCUCCUGGGGCGGCCGUCUCACCCUGGUUAAUUCUGUUCUUGCCUCCAUCCCCAAUUACUUCAUGGCAUGUUUCAUAUGGCCACAACAAUCUCUAGACAGACUGGAGCAAAUAUUACAAGGUUUUCUUUAG
rnacentral:rRNA from 1 species